rnacentral:rRNA from 1 species
AUACGGAGGAUGCGAGCGUUAUCCGGAUUUAUUGGGUUUAAAGGGUGCGUAGGCUGUGCGUUAAGUCAGGGGUGAAAUGCCGUCGCUCAACGACGGAGCUGCCCUCGAUACUGGCGUGCUGGAGUACGGAUGCCGUUGGAGGAAUGAGUGGUGUAGCGGUGAAAUGCUUAGAUAUCACUCAGAACACCGAUUGCGAAGGCAUCUGACGAAUCCGUCACUGACGCUGAGGCACGAAAGCGUGGGGAUAGAACAGGAUUAGAUACCCUGGUAUUCCACGCCGUAAACGAUGAUGACUAACCGUCGGCGAUAGACAGCCGGUGGCCAAGCGAAAGCGAUAAGUCAUCCACCUGGGGAGUACGUCGGCAACGAUGAAACUCAAAUGAAUUGACGGGG